rnacentral:rRNA from 1 species
GGUAGUCCACGCUGUAAACGAUGAGAACUAGAUGUUGGGAGGGGAACCUUUCAGUAUCGAAGCUAACGCGAUAAGUUCUCCGCCUGGGAAGUACGGCCGCAAGGUUGAAACUCAAAGGAAUUGACGGGGGCCCGCACAAGCGGUGGAGCAUGUGGUUUAAUUCGAUGCAACGCGAAGAACCUUACCUACUCUUGACAUCCUGCGAAUCUGGCUGAGAGGCUGGAGUGCCGAAAGGAACGCAGAGACAGGUGCUGCAUGGCUGUCGUCAGCUCGUGUUGUGAGAUGUUGGGUUAAG